AUAAUCUGGAGAGAAGUAUUUCAAAAAUACUCACCGAAGGGGAUGGUACGUAGAUUUAUGGAAAUCUAUAGCUACCGAAGCUCUCAGGUACCCUGACAGAUGGGGCAAC
rnacentral:ncRNA from 2 species